rnacentral:rRNA from 1 species
GGUCAGCCUCACUGGGACUGAGAUACGGCCCAGACUCCUACGGGAGGCAGCAGUCGAGAGGCUUCGGCAAUGGGGGAAACCCUGACCGAGCGACGCCGCGUGAGGGAUGAAGGCCCUUGGGUUGUAAACCUCUUUUGUUCGGGAAGAAGUGCGAUCAGGUGAAUAAUCUGGUCGUUUGACGGUACCGGACGAAUAAGCUCCGGCUAACUCCGUGCCAGCAGCCGCGGUAACACGGGGGGAGCAAGCGUUGUUCGGAAUCACUGGGCGUAAAGGGCGUGUAGGCGGUCAGGUAAGUGGGACGUGAAAUGCCUCGGCUCACCCGAGGACCGGCGUCCCAAACUGCUUGGCUUGAGUAUGGGAGAGGAUGUGGGAAUUCCUGGUGUAGCGGUGAAAUGCGUAGAUAUCAGGAGGAACACCGGUGGCGAAGGCGCACAUCUGGCCCAAUACUGACGCUGAGGCGCGAAAGCUAGGGGAGCAAACGGGAUUAGAUACCCCGGUAGUCCUAGCCGUAAACGGUGAUCACUAGGUGUUGGAGGCAUCGACCCCUCCAGUGCCGCAGCUAACGCAUUAAGUGAUCCGCCUGGGGAGUACGGCCGCAAGGUUGAAACUCAAAGGAAUUGACGGGGGCCCGCACAAGCGGUGGAGCAUGUGGUUUAAUUCGACGCAACGCGAAGAACCUUACCCAGACUUGACAUGCAUUCGACUGGUGUGGAAACACACCUUUCCUUCGGGACGGAUGCACAGGUGCUGCAUGGCUGUCGUCAGCUCGUGUCGUGAGAUGUUGGGUUAAGUCCCGCAACGAGCGCAACCCUUUCCUUAGUUGCUAACGAGUUAAGUCGAGCACUCUAAGGAGACUGCCGGUGAUAAACCGGAGGAAGGUGGGGAUGACGUCAAGUCCUCAUGGCCCUUACGUCUGGGGCUACACACGUGCUACAAUGGCCGGUACAGAGGGUUCCGAAGCCGCGAGGUGGAGGCAAUCCCAAAAAAACCGGUCUCAGUUCGGAUUGCAGUCUGCAACUCGACUGCAUGAAGUCGGAAUCGCUAGUAAUCGCUGAUCAGCAGGCAGCGGUGAAUACGUUCCCGGGCCUUGUACACACCGCCCGUCAAGCCACGAAAGUUGGUAGUACCCGAAGUCGCUGUGCCAACCGUAAGGAGGCAGGCGCCUAAGGUAAGACCAGUGAUUGGGGCUAAGUCGUAACAAGGUA